UACAGAGGGUGCAAGCGUUUGUUCGGAUUCAUUGGGCGUAAAGGGCGCGUAGGCGGCGGGGUAAGUCUGGUGUGAAAUCUAGGAGCUCAACUCCUAAACUGCACUGGAUACUGCUCUGCUAGAGGACUGGAGAGGAGACUGGAAUUCACGGUGUAGCGGUGAAAUGCGUAGAUAUCGUAAGGAAGACCAGUGGCGAAGGCGGGUCUCUGGAC
rnacentral:rRNA from 1 species